GACCUAUGAAAAUUGUAGCAUCCUUAAAAUUUGUUUGUUCGAGGAACUUUCCUUGACAUUUAGAAACACCCAGAGGUUCACAGGUAGGUAUGUAGUAUGUAGAUGAGGAACGCUGGAAAUGAGGAACAAGUGAUUCCGGGUUAAAGAUUUCUAUGAGCUAGCCACCAGUGGAAACUAGAAUCUUCUGAUCUGUAGACAGACUUGUUAAAAUUUGUUUGUUCGAGGAACUUUCCUUGACAUUUAGAAACACCCAGAGGUUCACAGGUAGGUAUGUAGUAUGUAGAUGAGGAACACUGGAAAUGAGGAACAAGUGAUUCCGGG